rnacentral:snoRNA from 1 species
GAAUGAAGGUAGCAUGGUACUGUGCACGUAAAUUAAAUUGGAUCGACAUGUCUGCCAUCUCUGAUUUAAUAUUUGAUUAGACGGCCUGGUUUAGAUCCACAUUC